AGUAAAAUCCUGAAACAGCUGCCUUAAAAUAUCUCAAGUGAGGCCAUUUUCCAAUCAGCUUUUUACAUUAUUGAAAUCAGGAAUAUCCAAGUCCAGCUGUCACCCACCGAGAUGAAUGGAGGCCCUGAUUCCUGAAGUGCUCACACAAGAUCCGGAUGUCAGAGAUACAGCAAGAGGAACAAAAGCAAGAUAAUAUAUGUUUAAGAGUCAAAGAAAAGAGGGGCAAGCAAGAGAAGAAGAAACAAGAGAGAGAAGAAAUCAUCAUAAUGUCCAGGUAGAAUAUGGUAUCUUCUGCUUCCCCAGCAUUUGUGUGGAAGACAAGGGAAAUUCUGACAGUUGAAGUCCAAUGUCAGUAAUUACUGUUCUUUGCCCAUCAACAUAUCUCCUAUACCAAGGUGCAGAACACAGGGACUUAUAAAGAGAGGUGGCUGUAAUACACAGAGGUGCAGGCUAGCAGAGAACUCUGAGGAGUGGUCAUUGUAUAGAGAGAAAGCUGAUCUCCACUCCCCACCAUUGCACACAAGGAUUUUUAAGAAUUGGAAGGACAUUCGAGACACAUUAAAGAAUGAUUCAAAAAACAUUGCCUCAAGUGGCUAUGAAAACGUGGUAUAAAAGCUUGAGAAGAUCCUACCAAGCUGGAAAACCUUUGAACCCAAGGCUGAUUAAAGACUGGAUCAAACAAGAUAUGGAGAGCUUCAUCACCAGACGGUUGGCCACUAGGACAUGUCCCUUCACUUUUUUCCUUUGUUUUCUUUG